rnacentral:rRNA from 1 species
UGCAAGUCGAACGCUUCUUUUUCCACCGGAGCUUGCUCCACCGGAAAAAGAGGAGUGGCGAACGGGUGAGUAACACGUGGGUAACCUGCCCAUCAGAAGGGGAUAACACUUGGAAACAGGUGCUAAUACCGUAUAACAAUCAAAACCGCAUGGUUUUGAUUUGAAAGGCGCUUUCGGGUGUCGCUGAUGGAUGGACCCGCGGUGCAUUAGCUAGUUGGUGAGGUAACGGCUCACCAAGGCCACGAUGCAUAGCCGACCUGAGAGGGUGAUCGGCCACAUUGGGACUGAGACACGGCCCAAACUCCUACGGGAGGCAGCAGUAGGGAAUCUUCGGCAAUGGACGAAAGUCUGACCGAGCAACGCCGCGUGAGUGAAGAAGGUUUUCGGAUCGUAAAACUCUGUUGUUAGAGAAGAACAAGGAUGAGAGUAACUGUUCAUCCCUUGACGGUAUCUAACCAGAAAGCCACGGCUAACUACGUGCCAGCA